GACAGAGGUGCCAAGCGUUAGGCGGAAUCACUGGGCUUAAAGCGUGUGUAGGCGGGUGCCUAAGUACCUUGUGAAAUCCCACGGCUCAACCGUGGAACUGCUGGGCAUACUGGGAGUCUUGAGCCACCUAGGGGCGAGCGGAACAAAUGGUGGAGCGGUGAAAUGUGUAGAUAUCAUUUGGAACGCCAACGGAGAAAUCAGCUCGCUGGGGGUGUGCUGACGCUGAGACACGAAAGCCAGGGGAGCGAACGGG
rnacentral:rRNA from 1 species